rnacentral:rRNA from 1 species
UUUAAACGGCCGCGGUAUCCUAACCGUGCGAAGGUAGCACAAUCACUAGCCCUCUAAAUAAGGGCCUGUAUGAAUGGCAACACGAAGGCCUUUCUGUCUCCUCUUUGACUUUAGAAACUUCUCUGGCCGUGCAAAAGCGACCAUGAAAGCGCCAGACGAGAAGACCCUAUCGAGCUUAAGGACGAAGGAGACGGAUUAAGAACUGGACCAGCUGAAAUCACAAAACUUAGAUUCAAUCCCACUCUCCCCCUCCUUUAGUUGGGGCAACCGCUGAGAAAAAGAACCCUCCGCACCAAAUUACUUUUCCAGGACAACGUGUCCAAAACCUUAAACUUGGGGGAACGUGAUCCGGCUCCAGCCGAUCAAUAGACUAAGUUACCGUAGGGAUAACAGCGUAAUCCCUCCUAAGAGCCCGCAUUGCCGGAGGGGUUUGCGACCUCGAUGUUGGAUCGGGGAACCCCGAUGGUGCAGCCGCUAUCAACGGGUGG